UCCGGCUUGUCACCGGCAGUAUCUCCAGAGUGCCCAACUGAAUGAUGGCAACUGAAGAGGAGGGUUGCGCUCGUUGCGGGACUUAACCCAACAUCUCACGACACGAGCUGACGACAGCCAUGCACCACCUGCACACCAGCCACAAGGGAACGCCUAUCUCUAGACGCGUCUAGUGCAUGUCAAUCCCAGGUAAGGUUCUUCGCGUUGCAUCGAAUUAAUCCGCAUGCUCCGCCGCUUGUGCGGGCCCCCGUCAAUUCCUUUGAGUUUCAGCCUUGCGGCCGUACUCCCCAGGCGGGGCACUUCAUGCGUUAGCGCCGGUACUCCAAGGGUCGCUCCCCGGAGCACCUAGUGCCCAUCGUUUACGGCGUGGACUAC
rnacentral:misc_RNA from 1 species